AUUAGCUAGUUGGGCAGGGUAAGGGCCUCCCAAGGCGACGAUGGUUAGCGGUUCUGAGAGGAUGAUCCGCCACACUGGAACUGAAACACGGUCCAGACUCCUACGGGAGGCAGCAGUGAGGAAUUUUGCACAAUGGGGGAAACCCUGAUGCAGCGACGCCGCGUGAGUGACGAAGGUCUUCGGAUCGUAAAGCUCUGUCAGCAGGGAAGAAAUGUGCGAUGGCUAAUAUCCAUUGUACUUGACGGUACCUGCAAAGGAAGCACCGGCUAACUCCGUGCCAGCAGCCGCGGUAAUACGGAGGGUGCGAGCGUUGUUCGGAUUUACUGGGCGUAAAGGGCGCGUAGGCGGCCUGUCAAGUCAGAUGUGAAAGCCCACGGCUCAACCGUGGAAGUGCAUCUGAAACUGGCAGGCUUGAGUACUGGAGGGGAGUGUGGAAUUCCCGGUGUAGAGGUGAAAUUGGUAGAUAUCGGGAGGAAUACCGGUGGGGAAGGCGACACUCUGGACAGAUACUGACGCUGAGGCGCGAAAGCGUGGGGAGCAAACAGGAUUAGAUACCCUGGUAGUCCACACGC
rnacentral:rRNA from 1 species